GUAUAAGAGACAGCAGCAGCCGCGGUAAUACAGAGGUCUCAAGCGUUGUUCGGAUUCAUUGGGCGUAAAGGGUGCGUAGGCGGCGCGGUAAGUCGGGUGUGAAAUUUCGAGGCUUAACUUCGAAACUGCAUUCGAUACUGCCGUGCUUGAGGACUGGAGAGGAGACUGGAAUUUACGGUGUAGCGGUGAAAUGCGUAGAUAUCGUAAGGAAGACCAGUGGCGAAGGCGGGUCUCUGGACAGUUCCUGACGCUGAGGCACGAAGGCCAGGGGAGCAAACG
rnacentral:rRNA from 1 species